UACGGAGGAUGCAAGCGUUAUCCGGAAUUAUUGGGCGUAAAGAGCUCGUAGGCGGUUUGUUGCGUCGGCUGUGAAAACCUGAGGCUCAACCUCAGGCCUGCAGUCGAUACGAGCAGACUAGAGUGUUGCAGGGGAGACUGGAAUUCCUGGUGUAGCGGUGAAAUGCGCAGAUAUCAGGAGGAACACCGGUGGCGAAGGCGGGUCUCUGGGCAACAACUGACGCUGAGGAGCGAAAGCGUGGGGAGCGAACAGG
rnacentral:rRNA from 1 species